rnacentral:rRNA from 1 species
CCUANGGGUGGCAGCAGUGGGGAAUCUUGCGCAAUGGGGGAAACCCUGACGCAGCAACGCCGCGUGGGUGAUGAAGGCCUUCGGGUCGUAAAGCCCUGUCAGGUGGGAAGAAACAUGCUGAUGCUAAUACCAUCAGCACUUGACGGUACCACCGGAGGAAGCACCGGCUAACUCCGUGCCAGCAGCCGCGGUAAUACGGAGGGUGCAAGCGUUGUUCGGAAUUAUUGGGCGUAAAGCGCGUGUAGGCGGUCUUAUAAGUCAGAUGUGAAAGCCUUCCGCUUAACGGGAGAAGUGCAUUUGAGACUAUAUGACUGGAGUACGGGAGAGGAGAGUGGAAUUCCCGGUGUAGAGGUGAAAUUCGUAGAUAUCGGGAGGAACACCAGUGGCGAAGGCGGCUCUCUGGCCUGAUACUGACGCUGAGACGCGAAAGCGUGGGGAGCAAACAGGAUUAGAUACCCGUNUANUC